UCUUCGAUGGUCUAGUGGUCAUGAUUUCCGCUUGUCAUCUCGCAAGAGCUACGAGCGCGGGAGACCGGGGUUCGAUUCCCCGUCGGAGAG